rnacentral:rRNA from 1 species
AUGCAUAUCACCUCCAUUGGACGUGGGGCUCUUGUGAAGUCGGUCCUCACCUCCCAGGCCAUCCACCACCUCACCCCAAUCAUUGUGCCACCAUCCGUUCUCCAGAGCAUCAAUAAGAUUGAGCGUGCUUACCUUUGGGCAGGCACGAAAAAGGUCCCCGGAGGGAAGUGCAAGGUUAAUGGGGAAACGGCCUGUAGGCCUACUCACCUAGGAGGAUUAGGUGUACUACAUCUUGACAAAUUUGCGAGAGCUCUCCGGUUGCGUUGGCCAUGGUAUGAGUGGCAUGACCCAAUGAAGAUUUGGGUUGGUUCGGGAAACCCAUGCGACAAAGAGGACAUGGAUAUUUUUUAUGCUCUCACUACCAUCACAGUUGGUAAUGGGGAAAGGACGCCAUUUUGGGACGCGCCGUGGCUCAGCGGCAAGAAGCCAAUUGAUGUUGCACCCCUCAUAUACAAGAUCUCGAAGUGCAAAAGUUGGAAGGUUAGUAGGGCCUUGCAUGAUGAUGCGUGGAUCAAGGCCAUCGACAUGCAUUGUGAGCUGACUUGGAAUCAUGUGACUCAAUUCGUCGAACUGUGGUCUCUGCUCUCUCAUAUAAACAUCUCCCAAGAUGUCCAUGACACCAUCAUUUGGAAGCUACCCCCUAAUGGGGAAUACUCCGCCAAAUCAGCAUAUAAGGCGCAAUUCAUGGGAGCUAUCCUCACACCCAUGAACAAGGUCAUUUGGAAAGUCUGGGAACCCCCCAAGGUCAGAUUCUUCGCAUGGCUAGCCAUCCAAAAUAGGGUGUGGCCGGCUGUCGGUGUCAAAACCGGCGGAUCUCGGGUAGGGGGUCCCGAAUUGUGCGUCUAG